rnacentral:snRNA from 1 species
CGAGGUGAGGGCGAUCGGGCUGUGACAUCUGUCACCUCAUUGAUUGCCAGUGUUGAAUCGGCUGAUCUGUCUGGCUAGGCCAGUGUCCCCUUCCUCCCUUACCACUCCAUGUGUGUCCCUUCCAAAGCUGUGCACUCAGUCAAAGAGGACAGAGGACGACCUUCCCUGAAUAUAGGAGGAGGUCUUCCAUCAAGGGUAUACAAUAGCUGUGCUCCCCUGCUAGAGCCUCCAAACAAGCUCUCAAGAAUGGUGAGAGAUCAUUAUUCUGAAAGCACUACUCCAGGGUGGGCUUUCCGAUGCCUUGGUCU